GCCGGUUUAGCUCAGUUGGUAGAGCAGCGGUUUUGUAAACCGAAGGUCGCGGGUUCGAGCCCUGCAACCGGCACCA
rnacentral:tRNA from 12 species